rnacentral:rRNA from 1 species
GAAUUCGCCCUUAGAGUUUGAUCCUGGCUCAGGAUUAACGCUGGCGGCGUGCAUAACACAUGCAAGUCGAACGAUGAAACUUAGUAGACUUCUUCGGAAUGACACUAAGCGAAUUAGUGGCGAACGGGUGAGUAACGCGUGAGUAACCUGCCUUACACAAGGGGAUAGCCUUUGGAAACGAAGAAUAAUACCCUAUAAAACUAUAAAAGCACAUGCUAGAAUGGUCAAAGUGCUAGCGGUGUAAGAUGGACUUGCGUCUGAUUAGCUAGUUGGUGAGAUAAAAGCUCACCAAGGCAACGAUCAGUAGCCGGCUUGAGAGAGUGUACGGCCACAUUGGGACUGAGACACGGCCCAGACUCCUACGGGAGGCAGCAGAAGGG